rnacentral:rRNA from 1 species
ACUCCUACGGGAGGCAGCAGUGGGGAAUAUUGCACAAUGGGCGCAAGCCUGAUGCAGCCAUGCCGCGUAUAUGAAGAAGGCCUUCGGGUUGUAAAGUACUUUCAGCGGGGAGGAAGGGAGUAAAGUUAAUACCUUUGCUCAUUGACGUUACCCGCAGAAGAAGCACCGGCUAACUCCGUGCCAGCAGCCGCGGUAAUACGGAGGGUGCAAGCGUUAAUCGGAAUUACUGGGCGUAAAGCGCACGCAGGCGGUUUGUUAAGUCAGAUGUGAAAUCCCCGGGCUCAACCUGGGAACUGCAUCUGAUACUGGCAAGCUUGAGUCUCGUAGAGGGGGGUAGAAUUCCAGGUGUAGCGGUGAAAUGCGUAGAGAUCUGGAGGAAUACCGGUGGCGAAGGCGGCCCCCUGGACGAAGACUGACGCU